rnacentral:rRNA from 1 species
CCUACGGGAGGCAGCAGUGAGGAAUAUUGGUCAAUGGGCUUACGCCUGAACCAGCCAAGUCGCGUGAGGGAAGACUGCCCUAUGGGUUGUAAACCUCUUUUGUCAGGGAGCAAUUGGCGCUACGUGUAGCGUUAUCGAGAGUACCUGAAGAAAAAGCAUCGGCUAACUCCGUGCCAGCAGCCGCGGUAAUACGGAGGAUGCGAGCGUUAUCCGGAUUUAUUGGGUUUAAAGGGUGCGUAGGCGGAAUGCCAAGUCAGCGGUAAAAGCGCGGGGCUCAACCUCGCUCCGCCGUUGAAACUGGCGUUCUAGAGUGGGCGAGAAGUAUGUGGAAUGCGUGGUGUAGCGGUGAAAUGAAUAGAUAUCACGCAGAACUCCGAUUGCGAAGGCAGCAUACCGGCGCCCAACUGACGCUGAAGCACGAAAGCGUGGGUAUCGAACAGGAUUAGAUACCCCAGUAGUC